UGGCCACCGAGACCCCUAUCUCAGCUGCC
rnacentral:piRNA from 1 species